rnacentral:rRNA from 1 species
UACGUAGGUGGCAAGCGUUGUCCGGAAUUAUUGGGCGUAAAGCGCGCGCAGGCGGUUCCUUAAGUCUGAUGUGAAAGCCCCCGGCUCAACCGGGGAGGGUCAUUGGAAACUGGGGAACUUGAGUGCAGAAGAGAAGAGCGGAAUUCCACGUGUAGCGGUGAAAUGCGUAGAGAUGUGGAGGAACACCAGUGGCGAAGGCGGCUCUUUGGUCUGUAACUGACGCUGAGGCGCGAAAGCGUGGGGAGCAAACAGGG